rnacentral:rRNA from 1 species
GACGAACGCUGGCGGCGUGCCUAAUACAUGCAAGUAGAACGCUGAAGGAGGAGCUUGCUUCUCUGGAUGAGUUGCGAACGGGUGAGUAACGCGUAGGUAACCUGCCUGGUAGCGGGGGAUAACUAUUGGAAACGAUAGCUAAUACCGCAUAAGAGUAGAUGUCGCAUGACAUUUGCUUAAAAGGUGCAAUUGCAUCACUACCAGAUGGACCUGCGUUGUAUUAGCUAGUUGGUGAGGUAACGGCUCACCAAGGCAACGAUACAUAGCCGACCUGAGAGGGUGAUCGGCCACACUGGGACUGAGACACGGCCCAGACUCCUACGGGAGGCAGCAGUAGGGAAUCUUCGGCAAGGGACGGAAGUCUGACCGAGCAACGCCGCGUGAGUGAAGAAGGGUUUCGGAUCGUAAAGCUCUGUUGUAAGAGAAGAACGAGUGUGAGAGUGGAAAGUUCACACUGUGACGGUAUCUUACCAGAAAGGGACGGCUAACUACGUG